UGGGGAAUAUUGGACAAUGGGCGCAAGCCUGAUCCAGCCAUGCCGCGUGAGUGAUGAAUGCCUUAGGGUUGUAAAGCUCUUUUAGCGGGGAAGAUAAUGACGGUACCCGCAGAAAAAGCCCCGGCUAACUUCGUGCCAGCAGCCGCGGUAAUACGAGGGGGGCUAGCGUUGCUCGGAAUUACUGGGCGUAAAGCGCACGUAGGCGGACUCUUAAGUCGGUGGUGAAAUCCUGGAGCUCAACUCCAGAACUGCCUUCGAUACUGGGAGUCUUGAGUUCGGGAGAGGUGAGUGGAACUGCGAGUGUAGAGGUGAAAUUCGUAGAUAUUCGCAAGAACACCAGUGGCGAAGGCGGCUCACUGGCCCGAUACUGACGCUGAGGUGCGAAAGCGUGGGGAGCAAACA
rnacentral:rRNA from 1 species